UCAUUUAGAGGAAGGAGAAGUCGUAACAAGGUUUCCGUAGGUGAACCUGCGGAAGGAUCAUUGUCGAGACCCUACAAGGAAUGACUGCGAAUAUGUAAACCAAGUGUCACUGUUGGCUUUGGCGGGCAAGAUCCCCUUUGGCCCAGUGGCUUCGUGCACCCCAUCCCAUCUCAUCCCAUUGGGGUCGGAUGGGUAGGACGAACCAUGAAAGCCGGGCGCAAUGGGCGCCAAGGAACACGAACCUCGGGGGCAUAUAUUUGGGGCCAUAUUGGCCUCUAAUGCGCUCCCGUGUAUGAAUCCAAACCUCACAUGACUCUCGGCAACGGAUAUCUCGGCUCUCGCAUCGAUGAAGAACGUAGCGAAAUGUGAUAUUUGGUGUGAAUUGCAGAAUCCCGUGAACCAUCGAGUCUUUGAACGCAAGUUGCGCCCGAGGCCUUGCGGCUAAGGGCACGCCUGCCUGGGCGUCACACCAUCGACGCUCCACACCCAUCCCCAUGGCAUGGGCAGUGGAUGCGGAAGUUGGCCCCCCGUUUGCUAGGCACCCUUGCAUAUGGUCGGCCAAAGACUUUGGCUAUCGCGUGUCCCCAAGGACAUGAUGGGUGGUGGAUGCCCUUGAGCAUGCUGAAAUAUUAUGUCCUAACACGUGUGCGGCCACACACAAACCCCAUAUUUGGAUUGCGACCCCAGGUCAGGCGGGACCACCCGCUGAGUUUAAGCAUA
rnacentral:rRNA from 1 species